rnacentral:lncRNA from 1 species
CCCAGGGGAAUCGUGGCAAUGAAUCAUGGGUUAGAUUUAUAGCCAUUGAAUAUAUUGAGUGAGAUCCAAGUGCUUGUUCCAAGUUACGGUCCCUCCCCACCUAAACAAGUGUAAAAUUGAAAGAAUGUCCUUGAGCUUCAAGCUGGGAGUGGUUUGGAUUUGGUUACAAGCCUCCCAGUUCUGCAAACAGUGGAACCAUGUCCAUAUCAGACCACAGUCAAGAUAACUAGAUUCAAUUAUGCUGCAGAAUCCACCAAUAUUGUUGAAUCUUUCCCUUAACGUUAUCUUCAAGCAGAAUUCUCCAUCACGUUUGCAUAUAUCCCCGUGGAACACUUUUCAACUAUAAAUGUGAAGUAUUGGCAAAUGAGGUACAGAGAAGAGGAUGGGAAGUCGGUUGUGCAUGGGCUUAUAUGUCUACUUUCUCUGGGAGAUGGAGAUAGAAGAAAUCUUCAAGAUGGCAUGAAAGCCCAGUCAUGAACGAUUUUGUGCCUCUGAGAAAGUGCUUUGUGAAUAGGCCUUUUGAAAUUACUGUGAACAUUGGCAGAGACUGCAAUUCUGCUAUUAAGACCACUUUAUAUCUUUUCUGAAUACACAAGUUAUCUAGCAGCAAUUCACUUCUUUUUAUUGGAAAUAUCAUCUAUGCCAGAGGAGCUUCCAUUUUUCUACCUGGAAGUUAAUCAUAGUGAGAAAUGCCUCUCCGGUUCCUUUUAGAUGUGGCAUUUAUUCAUUCAUAUCUGAUUCUGCAGCUGCAACUUAGACAUUGGUGAGUCUUGGCAGGUAAGCCUCUUCCGUCACCUCCUUCUCAUCCUACCCAGAGGAUUUACACACAACUCUCAGUAAGAGUCCCUGAUCCCCCAGAACUCUUCCCCUGUGUGCUGGAACAAGCUACUUUCUUCUGUAGGUGACCCACAGAGGGGGCAGCGAUAUCUGUCCUUCAUAAGUCCUGGAAUUGCAG